GUAGAAGACACGGGUGAGUCAUCGAAUCUUUGAACGCACAUUGCGCCCGCCAGUAUUCUGGCGGGCAUGCCUGUUCGAGCGUCAUUUCAACCAUCAAGCCCCCGGCUUGUGUUGGGGACCUGCGGCUGCCCGCAGGCCCUGAAAACCAGUGGCGGGCUCGCUGUCACUCCGAGCGUAGUAGCAUUAUCUCGCUCAGGGCGUGCUGCGGGUUCCGGCCGUUAAAAAGCCUUCAUAACCCAAGGUUGACCUCGGAUCAGGUAGGAAGACCCGCUGAACUUAAGCAUAUCAAUAAGCGGAGGA
rnacentral:misc_RNA from 1 species